CAUCGGAAACUAUAUAUAACACAACGGGAGCCAUGAAAGAAAUGAGGGAUAGCUUGGCAGACACGGAUGCAACUGGUCAGGCUUCUACUUUUCUUACUACUACAUCUCGGAGGUUAGAUGUCGAAGCCGACGAUAUCGCGAGACAGGCAAGGAGAAACAGGCGAUUGAUCGAAAGGGGUCUCGAGAUUGUGUUUAUAGUAACCAAUGUGACUAUUUCCUUGAACUUGGUAGCAGUUAUUGCUUUGUCAGUGACUGAAUUUUGAGAAUUCGACCAUCACUUUACUGGCUAAUUGGAAUGUGUUGGAUCUUGACAAUUCUAUGCUGGUUGUUCUUUGGGGUUUAUUUCUUCUUGGAAAAGUUUUCAGGAGAUACUUGCACCGCCCUAGAAAUCUUC